rnacentral:rRNA from 1 species
AUUGAACGCUGGCGGCAUGCCUUACACAUGCAAGUCGAACGGUAACAGGUCUUCGGAUGCUGACGAGUGGCGAACGGGUGAGUAAUACAUCGGAACGUGCCUAGUAGUGGGGGAUAACUACUCGAAAGAGUGGCUAAUACCGCAUGAGAUCUACGGAUGAAAGCAGGGGAUCGCAAGACCUUGUGCUACUAGAGCGGCCGAUGGCAGAUUAGGUAGUUGGUGGGAUAAAAGCUUACCAAGCCGACGAUCUGUAGCUGGUCUGAGAGGACGAUCAGCCACGCUGGGACUGAGACACGGCCCGGACUCCUACGGGAGGAAGCAGUGGGGAAUUUUGGAGAAUGGGCGCAAGCCUGAUCCAGCAAUGCCGCGUGCAGGAUGAAGGCCUUCGGGUUGUAAACUGCUUUUGUACGGAACGAAAAGCCCUGGGUUAAUACCCUGGGGUCAUGACGGUACCGUAAGAAUAAGCACCGGCUAACUACGUGCCAGCCGCCGCCGUAA